rnacentral:rRNA from 1 species
CCUACGGGAGGCAGCAGUGGGGAAUAUUGGGCAAUGGGCGCAAGCCUGACCCAGCAACGCCGCGUGAAGGAAGAAGGCUUUCGGGUUGUAAACUUCUUUUGUCAGGGAAGAGUAGAAGACGGUACCUGACGAAUAAGCCACGGCUAACUACGUGCCAGCAGCCGCGGUAAUACGUAGGUGGCAAGCGUUGUCCGGAUUUACUGGGUGUAAAGGGCGUGUAGCCGGGUUGACAAGUCAGAUGUGAAAUCCUGCGGCUUAACCGGAGAACUGCAUUUGAAACUGUUGAUCUUGAGUACUGGAGAGGCAGGUGGAAUUCCUAGUGUAGCGGUGAAAUGCGUAGAUAUUAGGAGGAACACCAGUGGCGAAGGCGGUCUGCUGAACAGCAACUGACGGUGAGGCGCGAAAGCGUGGGGAGCAAACAGGAUUAGAUACCCCAGUAGUC